rnacentral:lncRNA from 1 species
UCCUAAAAUGGCCUUCAAGGAACCUAAACCCAUGUCAAAAGAGCCAAAACCAGAUAGUAACUUACUCACCAUCACUAGUGGACAGCAAGAUAAGAAGGCUCCUAGUAAAAGGCCCCCUAUUUCAGAUUCUGAUGAACUCUCAGCCAAAAAAAGGAAAAAGAGUAGCUCAGAGGCUUUAUUUAAAAGUUUUUCUAGCACGACACCACUGAUACUCACUUGUUCUCCUGAUAAAAAACAGAUAAAAGAUAAAUCUCAUGUCAAGAUGGGAAGGGUCAAAAUUGAAGGUGAGGUAUCAGAGAAGAAGAAACCAACUUUGCCACCUUUUGAUGAUAUCGUGGAUCCUAACGAUUCAGAUGUGGAAGAGAAUAUGUCCUCUAAAUCCGAUGCUCUCCUCCUAUGAACAUUUUAAAGUGGUUCCUCAUGACCUCUCUUGGACCAAGUCCCCGCACACUUGUUUAUCAGAGGUGUGGUGAGUGUUACCCCUAGCCCUGCAUCUUAGCACAUCCUCCUUUCUUGAAUGACCACACUCUGUGUUUCAUAUCUUCAGCAGAAUCCCACCUGGAAUGCUUCCCAUCAUGUUUAAGGGAAGGUCGGAUGUAAGUCAAAUGGGAUAUGACAGAGGUUAUUUGACGAAAAUUUUAAUGGUCUUUGUAUCUUGGUAAUCCUUGAUUGUCUCUGGGAAACCAGGAUAAUCACAGCUUGAUAUAUAUUAAAGGGAACACUCACUGGGCAGAAUUGAAAAGGACACACUUAGGUAUCUCACAGGUUAAAAUUUUUUUAAAUAUGAAAGAGCUUCAUUGUAAACCAAGCUUUCACUUGGACAAGCUGUUGUUCCCAAAGGAGGAUCCCCAACUGCUCGUCUCUAACCUGCCAAUUUCUUAAGUGAAAAGUGCCCUGGGUUGUUCCUCUUUGCGCAUGUAAUAAGGCAUCCUGUACACCUGACAGCCACCUCUCUUGUACCCCUCCUUCUUUCCAGUUAACUCACAUGCUCUAGGAUCACAUCCUUUGCCUGGUCCUUCCCUGAUAGAUAUCUCUAAAGCUCUCUUAGGUCCUUCCCUGAUAGGUAUCGGUAAAGCUCUCUUAUUCUUCAUCCCAUUGUGAUCCAGCUUUUGCUCUUGAAACCAGUCUUAAACUGCCACUGGAAAGGAUCACCAGUGCCUUCCAGAUUUGAAUAUAAAAACCAUCCUCUCAGAGUUAGUUUGACCUUUCUGGCACUUUGGGCAGCUUUUCUGCUCUUUUCCUCCCUUCUCUGAUGCUCUCUGAUCUCUCUGUCUGCCCUCUAUGAGUCUCUGCCAGUCUUUUGUGCCACCCUUAAGUUUGCCAUUCCCAUUCUUCUUUUCUGUUACGUAGUCAUUCCCUGAACAGUCACUGAUUACCAACAUAGUUUGUCUCAUCUUCUCUACCCCCCAGCUAUUCAUAGAAGCUGCCGGCUGAAUAACUGACUAUCAAGUACCUGAAACACACAUGACAGGCCCAGUACAUUCUAGACUCCAGUGUCUAUGGUAGAUACUGUUAAUUGUCUAUUCAGUAUCAACUAUUCCCUUCUUACUAAUACCAGUUUUGUUGGGACAAUGAUGUCCCUAAAAUUUUUUUCUUCUCAGUCUUCCAUGCAGAUAGAUAACAGUCAUAUGACUAAAUCUGACUGCUGCUGUGUUGUUGGGCACCAGGGGUGAGGGGAUGUUGUGGUACAGAGAACAAGACAGGGACAGAGCUUACCUUUCAGUGACAGGAAGUAGUAUAAUUUUAAGCAGUGAUCGGUGCUAUGAAAAUUAUUUUCCUCAUAUCAUUUCAAUUGGUGAUGAUGGAAGUUAUUAGGUGAAAAUUGCAGCGAAGCCUCUGAAUAAGAGCUGACUAGGCUGGCGGAUACUGUUUGAACUUUUCUGUUUCCCCUUGCAUGGCACUCGGAUGUGAUGGCUGGGGCUUGAGGCGCUGUAUUAUGAGAAGUAUAUGCAAAGUGUGGAGAAGCACAAAGGACAAGAAGAAAUUGAUUCCUUGUUUCCUGACAUUGUGGAAGUGCCAUAUCAAUCCUGUUGGUCAGAGUGAGAAGAUUCAUUUCUCAGAUGUCUGUUACGAGCAGCUGAGCUCACUUCCUAAAUGAUUGAGCUCUACCCACUGUCCCAAAGCACCUGCUACAUUUCACAGUCAAUGUUAAUAUGUGUUCAUCUAUUUGUUUGUGUACUAGUUGAUGUCAGUCCUGUUGAAUAUAGCCUUUCAACAAACCCUUUUGAGGGCCUGUGAUAAGUUGUUGGGCACUAGGUGUGAAAUAGUAAGACGGGGCGGAGCUCACCUUCCAGUGCCUGGAAAUACGUGAUUUAAAGCAGUGAUUGGUGCUGUGAAAAUUAUUUAUUUUCCUUCAAGUCUCAUUUUAGUUGGUUAUGAUGCCUGUCAGAUUUGUUCCAGAAAUGUCUGUGACUCUCUGUUCCUUUUUCUUUUCCUGUUGGCAAGCACCUGUUGAUUUGGUUUCUCUUCUCUUUCCUUUUUCCCUUAGUACUGUGCAUUGAACCCAGAGCCUUUAAAGCCGCACGUGUACUAGGCGCCAGGGCCUAGGCAAAUCUUCCCCACUAAGCUGCACCACAGCCUCUGGUUUGGUUUUGUAUCACUCAGCUCAGCUGAGGUGGGGGACUUAGAGUUGUUCUUCCCAUCUCUUUUCUUCCCCAGGUUGUUCUAACAUAACCUUCUAAAAUGCCAGCAAAUCU